rnacentral:rRNA from 1 species
GAUGAACGCUGGCGGCGUGCCUAAUACAUGCAAGUCGAGCGAACGGACGAGAAGCUUGCUUCUCUGAUGUUAGCGGCGGACGGGUGAGUAACACGUGGAUAACCUACCUAUAAGACUGGGAUAACUUCGGGAAACCGGAGCUAAUACCGGAUAAUAUUUUGAACCGCAUGGUUCAAAAGUGAAAGACGGUCUUGCUGUCACUUAUAGAUGGAUCCGCGCUGCAUUAGCUAGUUGGUAAGGUAACGGCUUACCAAGGCAACGAUGCAUAGCCGACCUGAGAGGGUGAUCGGCCACACUGGAACUGAGACACGGUCCAGACUCCUACGGGAGGCAGCAGUAGGGAACCUUCCGCAAUGGGCGAAAGCCUGACGGAGCAACGCCGCGUGAGUGAUGAAGGUCUUCGGAUCGUAAAACUCUGUUAUUAGGGAAGAACAUAUGUGUAGGUAACUGUGCACAUCUUGACGGUACCUAAUCAGAAAGCCACGGCUAACUACGUG